rnacentral:rRNA from 1 species
GAUGAACGCUGGCGGCGUGCUUAACACAUGCAAGUCGAACGAUGACCCCCAGCUUGCUGGGGUGAUUAGUGGCGAACGGGUGAGUAACACGUGAGUAACCUGCCCUUGACUCUGGGAUAAGCCCGGGAAACUGGGUCUAAUACCGGAUAUCCCCUACGGGGGAAAGAUUUAUCGCCUUGGGACGGGCCCGCGUCCGAUUAGCUAGUUGGUGAGGUAAUGGCUCACCAAGGCUC